GUGAGGAAUAUUGGACAAUGGGCGCAAGCCUGAUCCAGCCAUGCCGCGUGCAGGAAGACGCAUCUAUGGUGUGUAAACUGCUUUUGUACGGGAAGAAACACUCCCUCGUGAGGGAGCUUGACGGUACCGUAAGAAUAAGGAUCGGCUAACUCCGUGCCAGCAGCCGCGGUAAUACGGAGGAUCCAAGCGUUAUCCGGAAUCAUUGGGUUUAAAGGGUCCGUAGGCGGUUUAAUAAGUCAGUGGUGAAAGCCCAUCGCUCAACGAUGGAACGGCCAUUGAUACUGUUAGACUUGAAUUACAAGGAAGUAACUAGAAUAUGUAGUGUAGCGGUGAAAUGCUUAGAUAUUACAUGGAAUACCAAUUGCGAAGGCAGGUUACUACUUGUGGAUUGACGCUGAUGGACGAAAGCGUGGGGAGCGAACAGGAUUAGAUACCUAGUAGUCC
rnacentral:rRNA from 1 species